AGAAACAAACGUUAUCCACCAAACACAUCGGGCCUUCGUAUAUGAUGACUAUUGGAAGGCGGUAUCGCAAAGUGAGCUGAAAAAAGCAAGUCAAUUAACAAGCGAUGAAGAAAGUAUACGAACGGUUCUCUGUCUCGACAUAUAAGAGAGCAUGGCUUCUGGGAACGCAUGGUCGCAGGCCAAAACAUUUGUGAACGAUUUUCUUAAUGGCUUAGACAUGAUGACAGCUCAAUACGGACGUUUCGGACUUACAAGGGAAUAUGUCGGCGUAGUUACAUUUGGUCACGAAACGCAAUUACAUCAACUUCCAACAUCAAACUACACGUUGAUUCGAGAGAAAAUAGAUAAUCUUCGAUUGGGUGGACCAAGUCCAUUAUAUGGAGGCCUUUGGUUGAGUGUAGCAGGUGCUAGGUGUUGAAGAGCCCUUGCUGCAACAGGUAGCGGGAUCGUUAUGAGUCCAAGGAUUGUUGUUAUAACAGACGGCAAACCCACUGAAACUUGGUUGAGAGCUGGACCCGACAUCACAACGCAAACAGACAAGGCAAUUAUUGCAAAACAUAAUAUUUCACGAAUAGAAACAUUACGUUUGG